rnacentral:rRNA from 1 species
CUGGCUCAGGAUGAACGCUGGCGGCGUGCCUAAUACAUGCAAGUCGAACGGGGUGUAGUAAUACACUUAGUGGCGACCGGGUGCGUAACACGUAGCUGACCUGCCCUUCAGCGGGGGAUAACGAGCCGAAAGGUUCGCUAAUACCGCAUGGACUCUGAGCGAUUAGAAGGCUUAGAGGAAACUUCCGGGGGCUGAAGGAGGGGGCUGCGGCCCAUCAGGUAGUUGGUGAGGUAGAAGCUCACCAAGCCGAUGACGGGUAGGGGGCCUGAGAGGGUGGUCCCCCACACUGGGACUGACACACGGCCCAGACUCCUACGGGAGGCAGCAGUAAGGGAUAUUGGUCAAUGGGCGCAAGCCUGAAACCCAGCAACGCCGCGUGCAGGAUGACGGCCUUCGGGUUGUAAACUGCUUUUCUCAGGGACGAGCGAGGACGGUACCUGAGGAAUAAGUCACGGCUAACUACGUGCCAGCCGCCGC